AAUGGAGGCAACUCUGAACCAGCCAUGCCGCGUGAAGGAAGAAUGUCUACGGAUUGUAAACUUCUUUUAUUUGGGAAGAACUCCACUACGUGUAGUGGACUGACGGUACCAAACGAAUAAGCACCGGCUAACUCCGUGCCAGUAGCCGCGGUAAUACGGAGGGUGCAAGCGUUAUCCGGAAUCAUUGGGUUUAAAGGGUUCGCAGGCGGCCUAUUAAGUCAGUGGUGAAAUCUCUCGGCUCAACCGAGAAACUGCCAUUGAUACUGAUAGGCUUGAAUAUAGUUGGAGUAGGCGGAAUGUGUAGUGUAGCGGUGAAAUGCUUAGAUAUUACACAGAACACCGAUAGCGAAGGCAGCUUACUAAACUAUUAUUGACGCUCAUGAACGAAAGCGUGGGGAGCGAACAGGAUU
rnacentral:rRNA from 1 species